rnacentral:rRNA from 1 species
GACGAACGCUGGCGGCGUGCUUAACACAUGCAAGUCGAGCGGUAAGGCCCUUUCGGGGGUACACGAGCGGCGAACGGGUGAGUAACACGUGGGUGACCUGCCCUCAGCUCUGGGAUAAGCCUGGGAAACCGGGUCUAAUACCGGAUAUGACUCCAUGACGCAUGUUGUGGGGUGGAAAGCCUUGUGCGGCUGAGGAUGGGCCCGCGGCCUAUCAGCUUGUUGGUGGGGUGAUGGCCUACCAAGGCGACGACGGGUAGCCGGCCUGAGAGGGCGACCGGCCACACCGGGACUGAGACACGGCCCAGACUCCUACGGGAGGCAGCAGUGGGGAAUCUUGCGCAAUGGGCGAAAGCCUGACGCAGCGACGCCGCGUGAGGGAUGAC